GAAUGCUCCCGAGUCCGGGCACCACUCUUAUCAAAGUACGUUGGUUAGGGCUUGAGAACCUUAACGGACGUUACGUGGAACCCGAAAGGACAAUCGAUGUAGCAGGUCAGUCUACACAUCGAGAUGGAUUUU
rnacentral:sRNA from 1 species